rnacentral:rRNA from 1 species
CCUACGGGUGGCUGCAGUUUCGAAUCAUUCACAAUGGGCGAAAGCCUGAUGGUGCGACGCCGCGUGAGGGAUGAAGGUCUUCGGAUUGUAAACCUCUGUCACUGGGGAAGAAACGCUUUGAGUUAAUAGUUCAAAGCCUGACUUAACCCGGAGAGGAAGCAGUGGCUAACUCUGUGCCAGCAGCCGCGGUAAUCCAGAGACGGCGAGCGUUAUUCGGAUGCACUGGGAGUAAAGGGUGCGCAGGAGGCGUGAAAUCCCGGAGCUUAACUCCGGAACUGCGCCUCAAACUACACGGCUAGAGCAUUGGAGAGGGAAGUGGAAUUCACGGUGUAGCAGUGAAAUGCGUAGAUAUCGUGAGGAACACCAGUGGCGAAGGCGACUUCCUGGACAAUUGCUGACGCUCAGGCACGAAAGCGUGGGGAGCAAAAGGGAUUAGAUACCCGUGUAGUC